CAUGUUCUUAAUUAUUUUAUAUUCAUCAUUUUUACUUGUAAGCUUUCAGUUAAAAGUGAUAUAUGGCAAUGAUUUGGAAGCGUCAAGAUCCACAGGCCUUAUCAAUGGAAAAGACAGUUAUUUACUCUUUAUCGCAAUGGGAGAUUUGAUGUUAGAUUGUAUAUUUUGAUCAUGUGCAGUCAUUGUGAAGUAUAAAGUGUCAUGUGCAUCAUUGUGUCACUACCAAUUAAAAGUGAUAUAUGGCAAUGAUUUGGAAGCGUCAAGAUCCACAGGCCUUAUCAAUGGAAAAGACAGUUAUUUACUCUUUAUCGCAAUGGGAGAUUUGAUGUUAGAUUGUAUAUUUUGAUCAUGUGCAGUCAUUGUGAAUUAUAAAGUGUCAUCUGCAUCAUUGUGUCACUACCAACUUUCAGUUAAAAGUGAUAUAUGGCAAUGAUUUGGAAGCGUCAAGAUCCACAGGCUUUAUCAAUGGAAAAGACAGUUAUUUACUCUUUAUCGCAAUGGGAGAUUUGAUGUUAGAUUGUAUAUUUUGAUCAUGUGCAGUCAUUGUGAAGUAUAAAGUGUCAUCUGCAUCAUUGUGUCACUACCAACUUUCAGUUAAAAGUGAUAAAUUGCAGUGAUUUGGAAGCGUCAAGAUCCAAAGACUUUAUCAAGAGAAUAGACAAUUAUUGACUUUUUAUCGCAAAUGGAGAUUUGAUGUUGGAUUGUAUAUUUUAAUGAUGUGCAGUCAUUCUGAAGUAUUAAAUGUCAACUGCAUCAUAAUGUUACUACCAGCUUUCAGUUAAAAGUGAUAUUUGGCAGUGAUUUGGAAGCUUCAAGAUCCACAGGCUUUAUGAAGGGAAAAGACAUUAUUUACUCUUUAUCGCAAUGGGAGAUUUGAUGUUGGAUUGUAUAUUUUGAUGAUGUGCAGUCAUUAUGAAAUAUUAAGUGUCAUCUGCACCAUUGUGUCACUACCAAGUGUGCAUCAAAGAAAUUCAUGAAACAAUCUUGAAAUUCUAAAUUAAGAUAGAUUGAUUGAUCAAUUUAAAAUUAAUUUUUUUUCCACAAACUAUUCCUUGUGCACAUGAGUAUAUGUAAUGUUGUUUGAAAAUGGAAAUAAAUCAAUAUAUUUUCUAGAUCAAUUGAUUAAUAACGCAAAACUCAAAUCAAUUCUGUGAAACGAAUAUUUUUUUUAUAAUAAAAGCCAAUAAGGGAAUGUUUGACAUGAAUUAGAAAUCACAAAAGUAAGAAUUAUUAUUUAUCAGUUUUAUUUCAUUUUACGGUAGAACCUAUGUAGGAAAAGUCUUUGUCAAAAGAUUUUUAAGCUUCAACACUGGAUUUUAAAAGGGGAAAAGUUAAAUUAGUACUUGCUUAUCAAUUAGUUAAAAGCUCAUGAUGUGUUUCCCUUUUUUUAAUGUAUCACAGCCUGUGAAACUUGGAAUGGUAAUUACUUACUGCGACUACCCAUUUGCAGUUAUUUUUAGGGGUACUUGUCAAGAAGAUAAUAUUAAAAAAUCAUAAAAAAAUACGUCUUCAAAGAUCUUUGUUUAUAUACUUUAUCAACUGAACAAUAUUAAGAAAUAUUUCUCAAGAAUUUCUUUUUUAUUCAAUUUACAUAAAAAAGUCCACACUUAAUAAAUGAUUGGCAAAUGACCUCUUUUUUGGGGGUCAAUUUUCAAAAAAAAAAUUCAGAAGUCUAUGUUAUGAUGU